AGUGAACGCUGGCGGUAGGCCUAACACAUGCAAGUCGAACGGCAGCACAGUAAGAGCUUGCUCUUACGGGUGGCGAGUGGCGGACGGGUGAGGAAUACAUCGGAAUCUACUUUUUCGUGGGGGAUAACGUAGGGAAACUUACGCUAAUACCGCAUACGACCUACGGGUGAAAGCAGGGGAUCUUCGGACCUUGCGCGAUUGAAUGAGCCGAUGUCGGAUUAGCUAGUUGGCGGGGUAAAGGCCCACCAAGGCGACGAUACGUAGCUGGUCUGAGAGGAUGAUCGGCCACACUGGAACUGAGACACGGUCCAGACUCCUACGGGAGGCAGCAGUGGGGAAUAUUGGACAAUGGGCGCAAGCCUGAUCCAGCCAUACCGCGUGGGUGAAGAAGGCCUUCGGGUUGUAAAGCCCUUUUGUUGGGAAAGAAAAGCAGCAGGUUAAUACGCCGCUGUUCUGACGGUACCCAAAGAAUAAGCACCGGCUAACUUCGUG
rnacentral:rRNA from 1 species